CAUCAGUUUUUCUGAAACCGAUGUUAACUACUCGAUAUUAACAACCGAUGUUAGUAUCGAGUUGUUAACAUCGGUUUGGGAAAAAUCGAUGU
rnacentral:pre_miRNA from 1 species